rnacentral:lncRNA from 10 species
GGCCCUUACCAGAAGCCAGCACCAUGUCCUUGAACAGAGCAGCUUGCAGGACUAUGAGCCAUGAUAGAAUAACAGAGCACAGAUUUGGCUUCUCAUGUUAAACAACUGAACCGUCAGAAAAAUAUAUGAAAAUAAUGAUGUUUCAAGUAUCAGAGAACAAUCAGUGCAGACAGUAACACCUAGGAGAGAAGAACUAAUGAAAUGAGCUUUAAGAUUGCUGUGCAUACUGCUCGGAGAAUUUCCAGGCCAUAGCACAACUCAAAUAUCACAGCUCAACUGGCUAUCUGCUUAAGUUGAAGGGACAGAGUUGAACAUUCUGAGAAGUCAAAGUGGUUAGAAUUUGCAGGGCAGGUUACUGGAGAGAAGAGAAAUGCACAGACAUCCAAAUGUCUGCAGAUGGCUCCUGUAAAGUCUUCAGCUGAAUGCUGGUCAGCACAUUCACGUAAGGGAAUUAUCUGAAGGUAGGGGAAAAAAAAUCACCAGAAAGGAAUAAUCAGAACAAUCCCUACAGCUCACUCAGAGCCAGGAAUAGUUUGUGUUUUCACUAAUUCAAAUGAAAAAAAUAAUCUUGUUAAUAUACAAGGCAUCAAAAAGAGUGCUAAGAAAUAUUUCUCUUAAAGAGGAAAAAUUAGCUCUGGACUAAUGUGCUGGAAUUUCUAUUUUCUGGACUAGUGGCUACUCUGGAUCCACCUAACAAAGCAAAAAGCAGGAAUUGAAGUGAUCAAACUGUUUUCAAAUGAUGUAAUUGUGUCUCAGAAUAAAUUCUAAGUAUAUUUCACUGAGAUGGAAUAUGUAGGACCUAACAAAAUAAAUUUCAAAAUACCUAGCAUCUAAUAAAGAAAUGAGCAGAUAUUCAAUGAAGUAGGAAAAUAAGAUUCUUAAUUAAGAGGAAAAAAUAAUGAAAUGCCAAAAAUGAUAUAAUUAUUAAAAAAAGAAAAACAGUUUUGAUAUACUCUAUAUAUACUCAAGAUGACAGAUAAGCACAAACAUGUUAAGGAGAGGCAUGGAAGAUUACUGGACUUUUGAAGAUGAAAAAUACAAUGUCAAAGAGGAAAAAGGCAUUGCAUGGCAUUGCCAAGAGGUUAGAAAUGGAAGAAGAAUACAUUAGUGAACUUGAAGAUAUAUCAAUUAAACUAUCCUGGAUGAACUCAAGAGAGAAAAAUGAGUGAAAAAAAUGAACAGUAUCAGUGAGCUGUGAAAUAUCAAAUGACCUAAAAUACAUUCAAAUCAUAGAAUCCCCAAAGCAGAGGAAGAGGGCAGAGAAAUACAUGAAAAAUAAUGACUUCAGUUUUUUUUUUUUGUUUUCAAAUUGAUGAGAACUAUAAACCACAGAUUCAAGAAGCUUACAAACCCCAACCUUAAGAAACAUGAAAAAAACUGCAAGGGACAUCAUAAUCACAUUGCUUAAAACCAGUGAUAAGAAAAAAAAUCUUAAAAACAGCCACAGGAAAAAGAUACAUUAUGUAUAGGAAAAUGAAGAUAAGAAUACAAGUCAGGAUUACUGUGGCAGUACUUUUUUAAGUAAAGGAAGAAAAAAAAAGGACCUAUCAAACUAGAAUUCCAUAUUCUACAAAAAUAUCUUUCAAGGAAAAUGAAAAAAAAAAGGCAAUACAAAGGCUAACAAAAUUCACCACCAGCACUGCAAAGAAAUGUUAAAGGAAGUUCUUCAGGAAGAUAAAAAUCUCAAUCUAUUCAAGGAAUGAAGAUCAACAGAUAAACACCAUUCAAUAUUAGAGGAAGACUGUAGAUGAAUUUAUUCACCUGUGCCAUAUUUUUCAUUGCUGCACAUAAUAAGAAGAACUACACAGAAGAGUGAAAGAAUUCAAAAGGUGAUAUGUGAGAACUUAAAGGAGAACAUAAUAUUUUCCAUCCAAUGUUUAUGUUUCUGACAUAUAGCUUGAGUAAACCUGGCAUUCCUACGUCAUGCCCUUGAGUUUCCCACAUGCUACCACCAAUCAGGUAGAACCAGUUGCUUCCAGGCAUUUCUAAUAGUGUAAUAAUUAUGAACACGAGCUAUGGAAUCAAAUGAUGUGUAUACUUCCUUUUAGUGAUGCCCUCUUACUAACUACAUGAACUUGAAAUGGUUACCCAACAUUUCUGAGAGAUGGUAUGUAUAUCUGUAUUGUGAUAGUGGUUAAGAGCAUGGUUUCUGGAGCUAGACUGCUGGGGUUUUAAUCCUAGAUCUGCCAAUUACUAUGUAAUCUUAAUACAUGUUAUUUAAUGUAUUUUUAAUUCAUCAUCUGUAAAAAUGAGAAUAAUAACAGUCCAUCCUCAUAGUGUUGUUGUGAGAUUUUUAUAUACAUAAUAUAUAAAAUAUAUAUUAUACAUUAUAUAUUACAUGUAAAUUAUAUAAUAUAUUAGAUAUAUAAAAUAUACAUUAUAUAUUCUAUAUGUAACAUAUGGAAUAUAAGACUAAAUUCUAACAAUAGAUCAUCUUUGAAGAUUUAUUUUUUCCAAGACAGUCUUACUCUACUACCCAGGCUGAAGUGCAGUGGUUCGAUUUCCACUCACUGAAACCUCUGCCUCCCAAGUUCAAGUGAUUCUCAUGUCUCAGCCUCCCUAGUAGCUGGGAAUACAGGAGCAUACCACCAAGACUGGCUAAUUUUUUUUUU